rnacentral:rRNA from 1 species
AUUGAACGCUGGCGGCAGGCCUAACACAUGCAAGUCGAGCGGAUGAAGGGAGCUUGCUCCUGGAUUCAGCGGCGGACGGGUGAGUAAUGCCUAGGAAUCUGCCUGGUAGCGGGGGAUAACGUCCGGAAACGGGCGCUAAUACCGCAUACGUCCUGAGGGAGAAAGUGGGGGAUCUUCGGACCUCACGCUAUCAGAUGAGCCUAGGUCGGAUUAGCUAGUUGGUGGGGUAAAGGCCUACCAAGGCGACGAUCCGUAACUGGUCUGAGAGGAUGAUCAGUCACACUGGAACUGAGACACGGUCCAGACUCCUACGGGAGGCAGCAGUGGGGAAUAUUGGACAAUGGGCGAAAGCCUGAUCCAGCCAUGCCGCGUGUGUGAAGAAGGUCUUCGGAUUGUAAGGCACUUUAAGUUGGGAGGAAGGGCAGUAAGUUAAUACCUUGCUGUUUUGACGUUACCAACAGAAUAAGCACCGGCUAACUUCGUG